GUGGAGAAGCCCUCCUUCCUUGCUCCCCACAUUUCAACCUUUAGCAGGGAAAAAAGAAAACCCUAGAGAUGAUUGAAAUAGAAAACACCAACUUUCUGGAUGUGGUGAUUUGACUGGGCUUAGCUGUGAGAUGGAGACUUCGAUUCUACUAUGAAGCUUUCUAAAGGAAGUGGAAUCAUUAAUGGAAAAAUGAGCAAAGAAUUCAAUAAGAAACAGAAAAGAAAUCACUCCU